AUUUCUUCGGAAUGAAACCUGAUAUGACUUAGUGGCGGACUGGUGAGUAACGCGUGAGGAACCUGCCUUUCAGAGGGGGACAACAGUUGGAAACGACUGCUAAUACCGCAUAAGACCACAGCACCGCAUGGUGCAGGGGUAAAAACUCCGGUGGUAUGAGAUGGACUCGCGUCCAAUUAGCUAGUUGGUGAGGUAACGGCCCACCAAGGCGACGAUUGGUAGCCGGACUGAGAGGUUGAACGGCCACAUUGGGACUGAGACACGGCCCAGACUCC
rnacentral:rRNA from 1 species